rnacentral:lncRNA from 1 species
UCCUGAAUAUCAAUAUCAAACCAAACAUUAUAAGGUUUUAAAUAAAAGUCUACGACCACAUGACAUCAAUAUAUUUGAUGUCUCUCGCAGCAUAACUAUGAUUGAGGCUCAUCGACCAUGUUUAAUAAUCGAGUAUGUAAAGUCGGUUAGGGCUCAACCGACUUAACAUAUUCUAUUAUUUAAUCGUAACGCUCAACAAUAUAAAAAAAUGCAAUUCCAUUGUGACAAAUAACUAUUUAUAAAAGUUAAUAAUACCGGUGAUUCUAUCAUACACAUCAGCAGCAGAUUCCCCAUUUGGAAAUCGGUAAAAGAAACGACCGUAAAGAUUGCGUUGCGCUUUUUCAACU